rnacentral:rRNA from 1 species
AAUCAACGCUGGCGGCGUGCCUAACACAUGCAAGUCGCGCGCGAAAGGGGGGGCAACUCCCAAGUAGAGCGGCGAAACGGGUGAGUAACACGUGGGUAAUCUACCUUCGAGUGGGGAACAACACCGGGAAACUGGUGCUAAUUCCGCAUAACAUCGUCGGGGCUUCGGUUCUGACGCUCAAAGCGUGGGGAUCGCAAGACCUAGCGCUUGAAGAUGAGCCCGCGUCCGAUUAGCUAGUUGGGCGGGGUAAUGGCCCACCAAGGCUUCGAUCGGUAGCCGGCCUGAGAGGGCGGACGGCCACACUGGAACUGAGACACGGUCCAGACUCCUACGGGAGGCAGC